GGUCAGGCGGGGCUAC
rnacentral:rRNA from 2 species